AUUGAACGCUGGCGGCAGGCCUAACACAUGCAAGUCGAGCGGAUGAAGGGAGCUUGCUCCUGGAUUCAGCGGCGGACGGGUGAGUAAUGCCUAGGAAUCUGCCUGGUAGUGGGGGAUAACGUCCGGAAACGGGCGCUAAUACCGCAUACGUCCUGAGGGAGAAAGUGGGGGAUCGUCGGACCUCACGCUAUCAGAUGAGCCUAGGUCGGAUUAGCUAGUUGGUGGGGUAAAGGCCUACCAAGGCGACGAUCCGUAACUGGUCUGAGAGGAUGAUCAGUCACACUGGAACUGAGACACGGUCCAGACUACUACGGGAGGCAGCAGUGGGGAAUAUUGGACAAUGGGCGAAAGCCUGAUCCAGCCAUGCCGCGUGUGUGAAGAAGGUCUUCGGAUUGUAAAGCACUUUAAGUUGGGAGGAAGGGCAGUAAGUUAAUACCUUGCUGUUUUGACGUUACCAACAGAAUAAGCACCGGCUAACUUCGUG
rnacentral:rRNA from 1 species